rnacentral:rRNA from 1 species
UACGUAGGGUGCGAGCGUUGUCCGGAAUUAUUGGGCGUAAAGAGCUCGUAGGCGGCCUGUCGCGUCGGAUGUGAAAGCCCGGGGCUUAACCCCGGGUCUGCAUUCGAUACGGGCAGGCUAGAGUGUGGUAGGGGGGAUCGGAAUUCCUGGUGUAGCGGUGAAAUGCGCAGAUAUCGGGAGGAACACCAGUGGCGAAGGCGGCCAACUGGGCCAUUCCUGACGCUGAGACGCGAAAGCCAGGGGAGCGAACCGG